GACGAACGCUGGCGGCGUGCUUAACACAUGCAAGUCGAACGGAAAGGCCCUGCUUUGGUGGGGUUCUCGAGUGGCGAACGGGUGAGUAACACGUGAGUAACCUGCCCUUGGCUGUGGGAUGACUUCAGGAAACUGGGGCUAAUACCGGAUAGGAGCUCCGGCGGCAGGGUGGGGGUUGGAAAGUUUGGGCGGUUGGGGAUGGACUCGCGGCUUAUCAGCUUGUUGGUGGGGUAGUGGCUUACCAAGGCUUUGACGGGUAGCCGGCCUGAGAGGGUGACCGGCCACAUUGGGACUGAGAUACGGCCCAGACUCCUACGGGAGGCAGCAGUGGGGAAUAUUGCACAAUGGGCGGAAGCCUGAUGCAGCAACGCCGCGUGCGGGAUGACGGCCUUCGGGUUGUAAACCGCUUUCGCCUGUGACGAAGCGUGAGUGACGGUAAUGGGUAAAGAAGCACCGGCUAACUACGUG
rnacentral:rRNA from 1 species